GAGGACGUGUUUUUAAACUGUGUCCAGGGCUUGCAGAGAUUGAGACAACGAUAACUGAGGAGUCAGGAGAGAGAAAACACCAGGUCACAGAGUUGCCGAGGACAGGGCAAGAGGAGCAACUUGAGCUAACAGCAUAAAAUGGAGCAAAGGAAAAUUACAGCUUGAUUGCCCAGAAGCUGCCAGACUGCCAGCUGAGCCUCGUGGGGAAGAUGGUCAACUCAUUUCCUUGAACAGACUGGAAGAUGGGGGAAAAGCAAAAGAAGACAUGGGAACUGUCCCUUGGCUGUCAGCAGCCAUUUGGAAUUGUGAUGCUGGUAAAAGAAAGUAAGGGAGAGUGGCACGCCCCAUCCCCAAAAGGACCAGCUGGUGUCUGGAGGCACGGCAGGAGACCCCAGACUGGAAAAGAGCCUGGCUUGCCAUCCCAGGAGCUGCACCCAUGACCAAGCACAGCACCUGGGAGAAGGGAGUGAUGGCUCUGUGCAGCCUGGCUGUGCUGUGAGAGCUGCUUUGGGCACUGCUGGUAGUUUUGAAUGGCA
rnacentral:lncRNA from 1 species